rnacentral:rRNA from 1 species
GAUGAACGCUGGCGGCGUGCCUAAUACAUGCAAGUCGAGCGAACAGAUGAGGAGCUUGCUCCUCUGACGUUAGCGGCUGACGGGUGAGUAACACGUGGAUAACCUACCUAUAAGACUGGGAUAACAUCGGGAAACCGGUGCUAAUACCAGAUAAUAUAUUGUACCGCAUGGUUCAAUAGUGCAAGACAGUUUUCGUGUCACUUAUAGAUGGAUCCGCGCCGCAUUAGCUAGUUGGUAAGGUAACGGCUUACCAAGGCAACGAUGCGUAGCCGACCUGAGAGGGUGAUCGGCCACACUGGAACUGAGACACGGUCCAGACUCCUACGGGAGGCAGCAGUAGGGAAUCUUCCGCAAUGGGCGAAAGCCUGACGCAGCAACACCGCGUGAGUGAUGAAGGUCUUCGGAUCGUAAAGCUCUGUUAUUAGGAAAGAACAAAUGUGUAAGUAACUAUGGACGUCUUGACGGUACCUAAUCAGAAAGCCACGGCUAACUACGUG